rnacentral:lncRNA from 1 species
AAAGAUCAAACAUUGCAGGCCCUUUAUUUCCAGAACUCUUACAUUUACAUCAAAAUUCUGUUAAUUACGUCUCCAAAGAGAAAACCCCUGAUUAAGAAAUUCCAACAUAACUAUUACAUGACAUUACAACACAUGAGUAUCUAAAACUAUGAAAAUAUAACUCCGUGUCGCUGUCGUCGGCGUCGGCGUGCUCAAAGAAGUCUUGAUUUUUUAUUUAUGCUAACGUAUGGGUAGCAUGAUAAUCAUGGUUAAAAUUCAUCUAUGCUGAUAUAUGAGUAGCAUAGUAACUAUGAUUUGUUCAUGGGAUGACAUAUUUUAUUUUAUAUCAUCAAUAUAACAUAUACGCACGUAUAGGUGCCAAGUCCAUUUAGUUGAUCAACCAUCAUAUAUUUUAAUCAUGUAAAAGUGCUCUAAUCAGUUGACAAUGUAUAUAAUCUAUUUAGAUGGCUAAUCAGCGGGCUAAAAUGGCAUCCCAAAUAUACACGCACAUGUGCCAAAGAUCAUACAUGUAUUUUCUAUAUACAUGCAUGGAUGAAGAUAUGUAUUUGAUACGUGGACUAUUAUAUAGUUGACCCAAGUACUAUAUGCAGAUCGAACUCAGGGUUUCGUAAUCCACGUGUGCUUCAUGGCCUAAGCUAUGAUUUAAUUCUUUGGAUGCAUGCACCUAUAUGAAAGUAGUGCAUGGCUUGAUCUAUACGGAGAUGCAGACAAUCAUAUCAAGAGAGUGUAUAAUUUAAUUUAUAUUUAUAUGAGUCACAUGCAUAAAACUAUAUGAAAUGCAACCAUCGUUCAAUUUUAAUUUAUAUGAAACAUCUUGUAGCAUGUAAGACUAGUUUUCUAUAGCCUUAAAUGAAUGUGCGACUAAAAAUUAGUCAACAUAUUUAUAUGAUUUUAGAUUUCAGUUAUAUGAGGAUUUUUUAUAUAGUCUCAUUUCAUUUGUAUUAAUACUAACGCCGUGUGACAAUAUGCCCACGUGUAGUAUAUUUCGUUUAUAUUAAUACUAACACCGUGUGACAAUAUGCCCACGUGUAGUACAAUUCAUUUGUAUUAAUGCUAGCAUCGUGUGACAAUAUGCCCAUGUAUAGCAUGUUUCAUUUGUAUUAAUACUAACACCGUGUGACAAUAUGCCCACGUGUGUGACAAUAUGCCCACGUGUAAUACAAUUCAUUUAUAUUGAUGCUAGCAUCGUGUGACAAUAUGCCCACGUGCGCAACAUGAUGUAUAGCAAUUUAUAGGGAUGAUGCAGCAUGUGAAAAUUAUCUAUUCAAUUUAGAGACGUGGGACUAAAUUGUGCAUCAAGUAUAUGUGUGCAAUAUUUUUGAUAAGCUAACGUACAUGGAUAUGAAAUUAUAAAAUAUCUAUGUACCAAAAUAUGGCCCAUAACUCUAGAAUGGGUUACUUGAUUUGUGACAAUAUGCCCGAAUCAAAAGCAUAAUCCCUUAUCAUAAAUGCUUCUUGGUUUGUGACAAUAUGCCCAGGCCAAGAGCCGAAAUGCAACAAGAUAUAUAUGCAAAAAUCUAAGAAUAAGCCUCUCGAUUUGUGACAAUAUGCCCAAAUCAAGAGUAUAAUUCUUGGUCCUAUUACGAGGUUCCUCUUGACUUGUGACAAUAUGCCCAAGCCAAGAACCAAAUAUGCAACAAGAUAUAUGUGCAAAAUCUAAGAACAAGCCACUCGAUUUGUGACAAUAUGCCCAAACCAAGUGCUAAAUCCUUGAUCCUAUCAUGAAAAGCUUCUUGGCCUGUGACGAUAUGCCCAAACCAAGAGCCAAAUAUGCAACCAUAUUUGAAUUGCAAGAAAGUGAAGGCCUCCUAAUUUGUAUUAUCAAACCACCAUGUGUCACCUUUGUUGAAGGCUACCGACGUUGAGUCCUCUGACGCGCCUGAGCUAGCAGAUGGGAAGCAGCAAGCAGCAGCAGGAGGAAAGGUGUAUGCGUGUGUGGAUUAUAGCAGCAGCGUUUGGGGUUGCAGCAGCUGAGUUGAUUGAUAGAAAAAAA